ACGCUUCUUUUUCCACCGGAGCUUGCUCCACCGGAAAAAGAGGAGUGGCGAACGGGUGAGUAACACGUGGGUAACCUGCCCAUCAGAAGGGGAUAACACUUGGAAACAGGUGCUAAUACCGUAUAACAAUCGAAACCGCAUGGUUUUGAUUUGAAAGGCGCUUUCGGGUGUCGCUGAUGGAUGGACCCGCGGUGCAUUAGCUAGUUGGUGAGGUAACGGCUCACCAAGGCGACGAUGCAUAGCCGACCUGAGAGGGUGAUCGGCCACAUUGGGACUGAGACACGGCCCAAACUCCUACGGGAGGCAGCAGUAGGGAAUCUUCGGCAAUGGACGAAAGUCUGACCGAGCAACGCCGCGUGAGUGAAGAAGGUUUUCGGAUCGUAAAACUCUGUUGUUAGAGAAGAACAAGGAUGAGAGUAACUGUUCAUCCCUUGACGGUAUCUAACCAGAAAGCCACGGCUAACUACGUGCCAGCAGCCGCGGUAAUACGUAGGUGGCAAGCGUUGUCCGGAUUUAUUGGGCGUAAAGCGAGCGCAGGCGGUUUCUUAAGUCUGAUGUGAAAGCCCCCGGCUCAACCGGGGAGGGUCAUUGGAAACUGGGAGACUUGAGUGCAGAAGAGGAGAGUGGAAUUCCAUGUGUAGCGGUGAAAUGCGUAGAUAUAUGGAGGAACACCAGUGGCGAAGGCGGCUCUCUGGUCUGUAACUGACGCUGAGGCUCGAAAGCGUGGGGAGCAAACAGGAUUAGAUACCCUGGUAGUCCACGCCGUAAACGAUGAGUGCUAAGUGUUGGAGGGUUUCCGCCCUUCAGUGCUGCAGCUAACGCAUUAAGCACUCCGCCUGGGGAGUACGACCGCAAGGUUGAAACUCAAAGGAAUUGACGGGGGCCCGCACAAGCGGUGGAGCAUGUGGUUUAAUUCGAAGCAACGCGAAGAACCUUACCAGGUCUUGACAUCCUUUGACCACUCUAGAGAUAGAGCUUCCCCUUCGGGGGCAAAGUGACAGGUGGUG
rnacentral:rRNA from 1 species